rnacentral:rRNA from 1 species
UACGUAGGUCCCGAGCGUUGUCCGGAUUUAUUGGGCGUAAAGCGAGCGCAGGUGGUUUAUUAAGUCUGGUGUAAAAGGCAGUGGCUCAACCAUUGUAUGCAUUGGAAACUGGUAGACUUGAGUGCGGGAGAGGAGAGUGGAAUUCCAUGUGUAGCGGUGAAAUGCGUAGAUAUAUGGAGGAACACCGGUGGCGAAAGCGGCUCUCUGGCCUGUAACUGACACUGAGGCUCGAAAGCGUGGGGAGCAAAUAGG